AAAGGUAGCUGAACAUGCCAUGAAGAACAAGCUGGGAAGCAGCAUUCCUCCAUGGUUUCUGCUUCAGUUUCUGCCUCUAGGUUCCUGCCCUGGCUUCCCUUAGCGAUGGAGAAGACAUUAGAAUACAGAUGUGAUGUACUAAACAAGGUGGACCAUGGCCAACGGGCCAUUAGAGGUGUGGUGGCAAGGUGUGGGAGUGAAAGCAUCUUGCAGCAGCGUUGCUGAUCCAUGGGCAGGCCUGGUUCUUCAACCGAGCUGGCACUUACGUGAACUUCAGCCAUGUGUUCCAGCCUUCUCUCUCUUUGCAGGACAGAGUGGUACUUUACAAGUUCCUUACAUGCCGGAUGAGAAACUGGAAAUCCUUUUCCUUGCUGGCACCCUUCUCUGCAGGGCUCAGAGGUGUGGACCCUGGUUGGAAGAGGUCUAAGGAUGGAUCCACUGUUGAAAGGAGUACUUCCUAGCCACUGAAAGACCGCUCCUCUCUGCCACUCUCCUCCCUUGAAGAUGGACCAAAGCCUCUGAAACCAGGAGACAACAUAAGACACCCACCUUCAGAGAGGUUUCCUGGCUGACGGCAACAUCUGUCCUGAACUGUAAAAGGGCCUCUACUCACUCCUCCUCCACUCCCUCUGUGGGCAUGUAAAUAUGGGUGCAAAAAACCUAUGGUACUUCUCUGAUUUCAAAGGAUUAUGGGAGAACAGAAUUAGUUUUUAGUCAUAUCUCAGGAUUUCAAGUUUCAUACCGUCAGUUAAACCAAGGACUACCAGGAGCUUCACCUUUCCUUCCUCUGACCUUUUCUGAAAACAAAGAUGACCUCAGAAGAGCUGAGCUGAAGGUUCAACCAGGAACUGGAUUCUAAGCACGGUGUUGCUGUAAGCCAUGAGGAUGUAACAGCUUCGAAAAUGGUUUAUUCAGAGGAAAGGGUGAAGGCGUCAGUGACUCUAUCACUGGCGCGACCCGCGUUUUCUGGUGUGGUGUUCACAUUCUAGUGUGAAGAGCACCACUAAACUAUGGUGCCGUAGCUUCGGAUGCCAGGUGUGCCAACACGAUUGUGUUCUACUGUAACGUUCUUCAUCAGGAACCGCACAAUCAAGUACUUUUAAAUCCCAUGUUGUAAUUAAGUUUAUGAUUUUCAUUUGGGCUGCAUGAGGCCUGUGGGUUGUAGGUUGGACACCUCUUAGAUCACCCAAAUUUGGGGA